GAGUUUGAUCAUGGCUCAGGAUGAACGCUAGCGGCAGGCUUAACACAUGCAAGUCGAGGGGUAACAGGGUCUUCGGACCGCUGACGACCGGCGCACGGGUGCGUAACGCGUAUACAAUCUACCUUGUAGAGGGGGAUAGCCCGGGGAAACCCGGAUUAAUACCCCAUAGUAUUAAAGAGCAGCAUUGCUUUUUGAUUAAACAUUUAUGGCUACAAGAUGAGUAUGCGUUCUAUUAGCUAGUAGGUAAGGUAACGGCUUACCUAGGCUACGAUAGAUAGGGGUCCUGAGAGGGAGAUCCCCCACACUGGUACUGAGACACGGACCAGACUCCUACGGGAGGCAGCAGUGAGGAAUAUUGGACAAUGGGCGAGAGCCUGAUCCAGCCAUGCCGCGUGCAGGAAGACGGCCCUAUGGGUUGUAAACUGCUUUUAUACAGGAAGAAACACUCCCUCGUGAGGGAGCUUGACGGUACUGUAAGAAUAAGGAUCGGCUAACUCCAUGCCAGCAGCCGCGGUAAUACGGAGGAUCCAAGCGUUAUCCGGAAUCAUUGGGUUUAAAGGGUCCGUAGGCGGGACAAUAAGUCAGCGGUGAAAGUCUGUGGCUCAACCAUAGAAUUGCCAUUGAUACUGUUGUUCUUGAGUGUUUAUGAAGUGGUUAGAAUAUGUGGUGUAGCGGUGAAAUGCAUAGAUAUCACAUGGAAUACCGAUUGCGAAGGCAGAUCACUAAUAAAAUACUGACGCUGAUGGACGAAAGCGUAGGUAG
rnacentral:rRNA from 1 species